GACGAACGCUGGCGGCGUGCUUAACACAUGCAAGUCGAACGGUGAAAGGGAGCUUGCUCCCUGGAUCAGUGGCGAACGGGUGAGUAACACGUGGGCAACCUGCCCCAGACUUCGGGAUAACGCUUCGAAAGAGGUGCUAAUACCGGAUACGAACUCCUUGGGCAUCCUUGGAGUUGGAAAGUUUUUCGGCCUGGGAUGGGCCCGCGGCCUAUCAGCUUGUUGGUGAGGUAACGGCUCACCAAGGCGACGACGGGUAGCCGGCCUGAGAGGGCGACCGGCCACACUGGGACUGAGACACGGCCCAGACUCCUACGGGAGGCAGCAGUGGGGAAUAUUGCGCAAUGGGCGAAAGCCUGACGCAGCAACGCCGCGUGAGGGAUGACGGCCUUCGGGUUGUAAACCUCUUUCAGCAGGGAAGAAGCGAAAGUGACGGUGCCUGCAGAAGAAGCACCGGCUAACUACGUGCCAGCCGCCGCAGUAA
rnacentral:rRNA from 1 species